GGCCCAGGUGAAGCCCCACAAGCUGCUGUCCCCUCUGUGUUUGUGUAGCUCAGUAUUUCCAAAGUGAGACCUGCCAAGUGUCCUGGGGGGCACGCUGCACCGCAGCGGGAUGUGCUGUGGGGUUCUGGUCCACCUGGUCCAGGAACCAGGUGGUGAUGGAGCCCUCAGGGGGAUGGCUGUGAGCAGCCAGACCUGGCACUGCCACUGCCUGCCUCCUCCUCUAUUUCUUUUUCUUCCCUCCCGCUGCUCCUGAGCAGAGGUUCAAAUUGAAUUUAUAUCUGUCACUGCAGAUAGAAGUCCUGACCAAAGAGAGAAUAGGCUUCAGUCAAAAUGUUUUCCCAUCAGAUAGCUUGCGGACCUCGAAGAGUUGUUUCAGUUCAGCCUGCGCACUAUCUCAGCACGCUUGAGGGUGUACCAUGUGAGGCCCAUUACUCUCUGAAGACGAGGGUUUAACGUUCAGCGCCACCGAUCGGACUGGGAACAGCCACUUCAGGGAGCGGAGCUUCCACAGCCCACACUGGGAAAUGAAGGGAGGAACACAGGAACGUGCCGGGAGGGCUCUGCCUCGAGCAGCCCAUCACGCCCAGCUGUGGCUAAUGGCGAGCAACACGUGCUCCUCCCUGACACUGCUGCCCUCUUUCCCUGCCAGCACACGCUGCUGGUGGUGAGAGGUAAAAACACGCACAGUGGAUGCGCAGUUCCCAAACCCGCAGCGUUCUAUGACAAAUGCAUUUCUCCAGCCCUGCUAUGACGGUGUGCAGUUAUUUUCAAAGCUGAAUUAAUCCGAGCCAGCGUACAGCAGGGGCUGACGGUACGAGAAUGAUUUUCAGGGCACC
rnacentral:lncRNA from 1 species